rnacentral:rRNA from 1 species
AUACGGAGGAUCCGAGCGUUAUCCGGAUUUAUUGGGUUUAAAGGGAGCGUAGGCGGACGCUUACGUCAGUUGUGAAAGUUUGCGGCUCAACCGUAAAAUUGCAGUUGAUACUGGGUGUCUUGAGUACAGUAGAGGCAGGCGGAAUUUGUGGUGUAGCGGUGGAAUGCUUAGAUAUCACGAAGAACUUCGAUUGCGAAGGCGGCCUGCUGGACUGUAACUGACGCUGAUGCUCGAAAGUGUGGGUAUCAAACAGGAUUAGAUACCCUGGUAAGCCACACAGUAAACGAUGAAUACUCGCUGUUUGCGAUAUACAGUAAGCGGCCAAGCGAAAGCGUUAAGUAUUCCACCUGGGGAGUACGCCGGCAACGGUGAAACUUAAAUGAAUUGGCGGGG